rnacentral:rRNA from 1 species
UACGUAGGGAGCAAGCGUUGUCCGGAUUUACUGGGUGUAAAGGGUGCGUAGGCGGCCCUGCAAGUCAGAAGUGAAAUCCAUGGGCUUAACCCGUGAACUGCUUUUGAAACUGCAGGACUUGAGUGGAGUAGAGGUAGGCGGAAUUCCCGGUGUAGCGGUGAAAUGCGUAGAGAUCGGGAGGAACACCAGUGGCGAAGGCGGCUUACUGGACUGUAACUGACGUUGAGGCUCGAAAGCGUGGGGAGCAAACAGG